CCCUUCUCGCCGUCGCUUCAACGACGGAGGUGACGCGCAGGAUAUCGCUAGCAUUCGCGAACACACGCAGGGGCUCCGUGCCUUGUGCUCGCCGUCGCUGCAACGAUGAAGGCGACGCCCAGGAGCUCCGCCCCCGCCAUCGUGUCCGGCUCGCUGGUGCAGAUUGCAGAAAAGUUUAAUUCGAGUAAAUGGGCACCUGACAUGAAGGAGGCGGUCGAAGAGCUGCAGGGAGUAGACGCCCUCCUAUAGGCGAAGCUUAACUAAUUUUCAUGGCAUUUAUAGUGUCGAGGCUUGCUUUGGCCUGCCAAAUUUCUGCAGCAGUCUAUCUUCAUGCUGGAGCUUGCCGCGUCGAGUGGUUGCGGCUUAGAUAGGGGUUUGCCUGUGCUAUACAUUAAGCAGUCCAUCUGCACGGGUGAACAAUAUCAUCUCCAGGGAUGAGGGUGGCCGGAGCUCUUUCUAAGGGGCCAGUCACCUCCUGGAGUCGAUUGACAUGGACCUCAUGAAGACGGUCUACGUCGCGAUCGAUGAGGAGAAGCUCGAGCCACCGGUGUGCCUGGUGCGAGGGCUGUCGGUGCAAGCAGUAUCUCGGUGUGAAGAGGGGUGCGACGGAGAUAAAACAACAUCCAUUCUCUGAGGGCGUGAACUGGGAUCUCAUCCAUUGCAGCACGCCUCCUGGGGUACCAAGGCCCGUGGAAGCAGAGCUUCCCAUGAAGUACAUGAUGCCAGUAGCCAUCGCCAACAACAACAAGAGGGCGGUAGGGGCAUGAACACGAAGUUCCGGAGGGAAGUACCUUGACUUUUGAGUUCUUUUAGAGUUGUGCCUAGCGGUAGAGCUAUUGCUUGCAUACUGUUUGAGUUAGGUCAGUGUGGUGUUGUGAUUUGAUGCGGUUUUGUUUGUGUCAUCACUGUUACUUACAAACUUCUUGCAUCUAAAGUGGCCAAAAUUAGGUUGAUGUGUUUGAUCUCAUGUUGAUGAUGAUUGCCUUUCUUCAAA